CGUUUUCUGCGGUGUGCGCCAGCACACUCUUACAUAUUGCCUUGUUCCUAUUUACGACCCGGGUCGGUUACUUAAGGCUGUUGUGCAAGUCCGCCGCGAGCGGAAAGCCUGAAGGCCUUGAUCUCCCUCCCACCUGAUCCCAUUGGAUCAAGGUCGUUUGGUGGGUAGCGGCAUCGCGGUUGACGC
rnacentral:other from 1 species